rnacentral:rRNA from 1 species
UUUGUCUUUUAAUUGAGGGCUGGGAUGAAGGGGUUGACAACCCUUAGACUGUUAAUAAUAGAAUAGUGUAAAUUUAUUUCUACUUUAAAAGGUGUAGCUUUCUUGGGGGGACGAUAAGACCCUGUGAAACUUUAUUAUUUCUGCAAAAUAGGGGUAGUAUUUUUUUUCUUGGUUGUAAUUGAGCUGGGGCGGCCACUAAAAAACUUUAGAAAAUUUAACAUUAAUUAGUGAAAAGAAGGUUCUUAAAUAAAUCAAAAAAGUUACUCCAGGGAUAACAGCGUAAUUUAUAAAGAUAAACUAUAUUUUUAUAAGACUUACGACCUCGAUGUUGAAUUGAGGGGCCAGAAUCUUUAAGAUGUCUUGGGAGUCUGUUCGACUCUUAAAUCCUC